rnacentral:rRNA from 1 species
AGCAGCCGCGGUAAUUCCAGCUCCAAUAGCGUAUAUUAAAGUUGUUGCAGUUAAAAAGCUCGUAGUUGAAUUUCGAGACCGGUUUAUUGGUCGUGCUUUUGUACGUACUGGUAUUAUUGGUUUCUCCUUUCUGACGAAUCUUAAUGCCAUUAAUUUGGUGUUUUGGGGAAUCAGGACUGUUACUUUGAAAAAAUUAGAGUGUUUAAAGCAGGCUCACGCUUGAAUACAUUAGCAUGGAAUAACGGAAUAGGACGUUUGAUUCUAUUUUGUUGGUUUCUAGGAUCGACGUAAUGAUUAAUAGGGAUAGUUGGGGGCAUUAGUAUUCAAUUGUCAGAGGUGAAAUUCUUGGAUUUAUUGAAGACUAACUACUGCGAAAGCAUUUGCCAAGGAUGUUUUCAUUAAUCAAGAACGAAAGUUAGGGGAUCGAAGACGAUCAGAUACCGUCGUAGUCUUAACCAUAAACUAUGCCGACUAGGGAUCGGAUGAUGUUAAUUUUUAAUGUACUCAUUCGCGCCUUACG